rnacentral:rRNA from 1 species
GUCCACGCCGUAAACGUUGGGCACUAGGUGUGGGUCUCAACCAACGAGAUCCGCGCCGUCGCUAACGCAUUAAGUGCCCCGCCUGGGGAGUACGGCCGCAAGGCUAAAACUCAAAGGAAUUGACGGGGGCCCGCACAAGCAGCGGAGCGUGUUGCUUAAUUCGAUGUUACGCGAAGAACCUUACCUGGGUUUGACAUGUAGGGAAAAGCUCUAGAGAUAGGGUGUCCGUAAGGGCUCUACACAGGUGGUGCAUGGCUGUCGU